rnacentral:rRNA from 1 species
GUCCGAGCGAAUGGAUUAAGAGCUUGCUCUUAUGAAGUUAGCGGCGGACGGGUGAGUAACACGUGGGUAACCUACCCAUAAGACUGGGAUAACUCCGGGAAACCGGGGCUAAUACCGGAUAAUAUUUUGAACUGCAUAGUUCGAAAUUGAAAGGCGGCUUCGGCUGUCACUUAUGGAUGGACCCGCGUCGCAUUAGCUAGUUGGUGAGGUAACGGCUCACCAAGGCGACGAUGCGUAGCCGACCUGAGAGGGUGAUCGGCCACACUGGGACUGAGACACGGCCCAGACUCCUACGGGAGGCAGCAGUAGGGAAUCUUCCGCAAUGGACGAAAGUCUGACGGAGCAACGCCGCGUGAGUGAUGAAGGCUUUCGGGUCGUAAAACUCUGUUGUUAGGGAAGAACAAGUGCUAGUUGAAUAAGCUGGCACCUCGACGGA